UAGCUAGUUGGUGAGGUAACGGCUUACCAAGGCGACGAUCUGUAGCGGGUCUGAGAGGAUGAUCCGCCACACUGGAACUGAGACACGGUCCAGACUCCUACGGGAGGCAGCAGUGGGGAAUUUUGGACAAUGGGGGCAACCCUGAUCCAGCCAUGCCGCGUGAGUGAAGAAGGCCUUCGGGUUGUGAAGCUCUUUCGGCCGGGAAGAAAUCGCAUGGGCCAAUACCCUGUGUGGAUGACGGUACCGGAAUAAGAAGCACCGGCUAACUACGUGCCAGCAGCCGCGGUAAUACGUAGGGUGCGAGCGUUAAUCGGAAUUACUGGGCGUAAAGCGUGCGCAGGCGGUUUUGUAAGACAGGCGUGAAAUCCCCGGGCUCAACCUGGGAACUGCGUUUGUGACUGCAAGGCUAGAGUACGGCAGAGGGGGGUGGAAUUCCACGUGUAGCAGUGAAAUGCGUAGAGAUGUGGAGGAACACCAAUGGCGAAGGCAGCCCCCUGGGUCGAUACUGACGCUCAUGCACGAAAGCGUGGGUAGCAAACAGGAUUAGAUACCCUGGUAGUCCACGCCCUAAACUAUGUCAACUAGGUGUUGGGUGGGUAAACCAUUUAGUACCGUAGCUAACGCGUGAAGUUGACCGCCUGGGGAGUACGGCCGCAAGGUUAAAACUCAAAGGAAUUGACGGGGACCCGCACAAGCGGUGGAUGAUGUGGAUUAAUUCGAUGCAACGCGAAAAACCUUACCUACCCUUGACAUGCCAGGAACUUGCCAGAGAUGGCUUGGUGCCCGAAAGGGAGCCUGGACACAGGUGCUGCAUGGCUGUCGUCAGCUCGUGUCGUGAGAUGUUGGGUUAAGUCCCGCAACGAGCGCAACCCUUGUCGUUAAUUGCCAUCAUUUAGUUGGGCACUUUAGCGAGACUGCCGGUGACAAACCGGAGGAAGGUGGGGAUGACGUCAAGUCCUCAUGGCCCUUAUGGGUAGGGCUUCACACGUCAUACAAUGGUCGGUACAGAGGGUCGCCAAGCCGCGAGGUGGAGCCAAUCCCAGAAAGCCGAUCGUAGUCCGGAUUGCAGGCUGCAGCUCGCCUGCAUGAAGUCGGAAUCGCUAGUAAUCGUGGAUCAGCAUGUCACGGUGAAUACGUUCCCGGGUCUUGUACACACCGCCCGUCACACCAUGGGAGCGGGUUCCGCCAGAAGUAGGUAGCCUAACCGCAAGGAGGGCGCUUACCACGGCGGGGUUCGUGACUGGGGUGAAGUCGGAACAAGGUAGCCGUAGGGGAACCUGCGGCUG
rnacentral:rRNA from 1 species